AAUAUUGGACAAUGUGCGCAAGCCUGAUCCAGCCAUGCCGCGUGUGUGAAGAAGUCCCUAGGGUUGUACAGCUCUCUCACCCGCGUAGAUGCUGACGUUAGCGUGAGCAGAAUCCCCGCCUAUCUCCGUGCCAGCAGCCGCGGUAAUCUGGACGGGGCUAGCGUUGUUCGGAUUUACUGGGCGUAAAGGGCGCGUCGGCGGAUGUUCGCGUCAGAGGUGAAAGCCCCGGGCGAAACCUAGGAACUGCAUUUGAAACGGGACAUCUUGAGUUCGGGAGAGGGUAGCGGAAUUCCCAGUGUAGAGGUGAAAUUCGUAGAUAUUGGGAAGAACACCGGUGGCGAAGGCGGCUACCUGGCCCGAUACUGACGCUGAGGCGCGAAAGCGUGGGGAGCAAACA
rnacentral:rRNA from 1 species